UGUAUUUUUUACAGGCAAAUGGAGGAUGCCUUGGAAUGUUGAGGCGAUGAAGGACGUGGCGUAACUGCGAUAAGCUUCGGGGAGGUGUUAAGCAACCUUUGAUCCGGAGAUUUCCGAAUGGGGAAACCUAUUCUACUAAAAGUAGGAUAUCUGAUCAAUAGAUUGGAUGCGUACCCGCUGAAGUGAAACAUCUCAGUAGGUGGAGGAAAAGAAAAAAAGAAUGCUUAUGCAUUAAAAUUCCCUGAGUAGCGGCGAGCGAAACGGGAGGAGCCCAAACCCGGCUUAUGUGGUCGGGGGUUGUAAGUUAAAUAUGUUCUCUUUUAUUAGAGACGGAGUAUUACCAAGUUGUGAUUUGGUUAACCAAAUCUUGCUGGAAAGCGGAGCCGAAGAGAGUAAAAGCCUCGUAGGUGAAAACUAUCACACACUUCGAAUAUUUGACUUGAGUACCGUAAGGAACGAAAACCUUGUGGGAAUCAGGCAGGACUAAACUGCCAAGGCUAAAUACUCAACAUUACCGAUAGUGAACCAGUACCGUGAGGGAAAGGUGAAAAGUAGCCCUGUUAGGGCGGUGAAAUAGAACCUGAAACCAUUUGCCUACAAGGAGUCAGAGGGGAAUUUAUUCCCUGAUGGCGUGCCUUUUGCAGAAUGAGCCAACGAGUGACUGUUAGUCCUUUGUCUAAUCUCGUUACCGAGAGGAGGCACAGCGAAAGCGAGUCUUAAUAGGGCGUAUAGUUUUGCAGUGCAAAACUGAGGGCUGGCAGACGACCCGAAGCCAGGUGAGCUUGCCAUGGCCAGGUUGAAUUCCACUGAAAAGUGGAAGGAGGACCGAACCCGUAGAUCGUGCAAUAUCUUGGGAUGAGCUGUGGUAAGGAGUGAAAAGCUAAUCGAACUUGGUAAUAGCUGGUUCUCCCCGAAAUAGCUUUAGGGCUAGCGUUUUCAUAUAUUAUGGGGGUAGAGCACUGAAUGGAUUUUCGUAGGGAAACCUAGACUGUCCAAUCAAACUUCGAAUACCAUAAUUGUAAGAAGGCAGUCAGACCGUGGGGGCUAAGCUCCAUGGUCAAAAGGGAAACAGCCCAGAUCUUCAUCUAAGGUCCCUAAAUUCAAGCUAAGUGCAAGUAAGGAGGUGAAGCUUCUUUGAUAGUUAGGAAGUUAGCUUAGAAGCAGCUAUCUUUUAAAAAGUGCGUAACAGCUUACUAACUAAGAAGUUUUGUGCCGAAGAUUUCCGGGGCUAAAGCUUGAUACCGAAGAUAAGAAUUAUUACUUUUAAGUAAUAGUGGUAGGGGAGCAUCCCUCUUUCGUUGAAGGUGAGUCGUGAGGCUUGCUGGAGGAUGAGGGAGAGAGAAUGUUGGCAUGAGUAACCGCAAUUCCGGUGAGAGCCCGGAACACCGUAAACCCAAGGUUUCCUUGGCAAUGGUGAUCAGCCAAGGGUUAGGCGGACCUAAGGCGCAACCGAAAGGUGAGGCCGAUGGACAGCCGGUUAAUAUUCCGGCCCUUUCUUAUAAAUUUCCAAAUAGGAACGAAGAUUAGUAAUUUAAGUGGAUUAUUGAAUUUCCAUUCAUUCUUUAAGGAGCAAUCCAAGAAGCGUGAAAAGGUGGGAUUUCGGUUCCAUCGAUUUGAGUGAGCAAUCUUCCCAGAAAAGCUUUUUUGGAGCUAAUUUAUAAGGAAACCGUACCGUAAACCGACGCAGGUGGGUGGGCGUAAGUGUGCCAAGGUGAACGAGUGAAACUUCGUCAAGGAACUCGGCAAAAAAGUGGUCGUAACUUCGGGAUAAGACCUGGGGAUACAGUAAUGUAUCCCCCGCAGCGAAAGUACUCCUAGCGACUGUUUAUCAAAAACACAGGUCCCUGCUAAACUCGUAAGAGGAUGUAUAGGGGCUGAGGCCUGACCAGUGCUGGAACAUUAACAGCGUCGGUCUUUCUUCGUUUACGAGGGAAGGCUGAAUGCUCGAAGUGCCAGUGAACGUCCGCGGUAACUAUAACCGUGUUAAAGUAGCGUAAUCCCUUGUCGGGUAAGUUCCGACCCGCACGAAAGGCUUAACGACUGGGAGGCUGUCUCGACGAAGUGCUCGGUGAAAAUGCAAUACCGGUAAAGAUGCCGGUUACCUGCGGCUAGACGAGAAGACCCCGGGAGCUUCACUGUAGUCAGAUAUUGACUUUUGAUUUUAGAUGCGAAGCGUAGGUGGUAGACUUUGAAGUUUUUCUUUCGGGAAAAAUGGAGUCGCCAAUGAGACACCACUCUUUUAAAAUCUUAAUUCUAACCUGGCCAUACCUCACUGUAUUUAAUCUUUUGAAUAUAGUGAGGUAUGGCGGGGACAGUUUCUGGCGGUCAGUUUAAGUGGGGUGCUUUUCUCCUAAAGAGUAACGGAGAAGUUUAUAAGGUCAGCUAGCUCCGGAUGGAAAUCGGAGUGAUUGUGUAAAGGCAUAAGCUGGCUUUACUGUGAGACGGAUAUGUCGAGCAGUUGGGAAACCAGAACUUAGUGAACCGACCGUGUAUGAUUUUAGAAGCACGGGAGAUCAUCAGACAAAAGCUACCCCGGGGAUAACAGGUUGGUAGGGCCCGCGAGUUCACAUCAACGGCCCUGUUCGACACCUCGAUGUCGGCUCAUCACAUCCUGGAGGUGAAGCAGCUUCCAAGGGUAUGGCUGUUCGCCAUUUAAAGUGGUACGUGAGCUGGGUUCAGACCGUCGUGAGACAGGUUGGUCUCUAUCUACCGCAGGCGUUGAGUUUUGAGAAGAUUUACUCCUAGUACGAGAGGACCGGAGUGAACUAACCUCUGGUGUGCCAGUUGUUCUGUCAAGAGCAUUGCUGGGUAGCUAUGUUAGGAAUGGAUAAGCGCUGAAAGCAUCUAAGCACGAAGCCAACUUCAAGAUUAGAACUCAUAGACCCCUCAGAGAUGAUGAGGUUGAUAGGUUGCAGGUGUAAGGGUAGUAAUGCCUUUAGCCAAGCAAUACUAAUAGGUCAAAGCAAUUUUAGC
rnacentral:rRNA from 1 species